GAUGUGAGUGAUGUAACAUCGAUCGAAUUGUGGAUGUAACAUCUAAGUUAAUGCGGUUUUGGCAUUAAUUAAGAUUUUGUGAUAGUUUUGAUACGCCAACUGUGUAAUUCGUUACAUGAUUUAGGCUAAUAAUUUGAUACCUAUCGGUUAUUUCUUGAUAGGCUAAUUUAUUGGUUAGGCAUAGGCCUAUUUAUCCUAGGCUAAUUCGUAUUUCUGCCCUAGGCCCUACACUAAUUAAACAUGGAUACAAAGGCACAAAAAGAACUGAUCAAAGUGUUGUGCCCAAGCACUUUUCAAGCCUACCAGUGGCUAAAACUCAACAGAAACAGAUGCACAGGCUAGGCCUAUACGGGCCUGUGAUGAUUGAGCCAGUACCAGUACAAUGGGGGAGUUGUAAUUAAUAUCCUCCGACAUUGGAUGAUUCAGGGGAGAGGCUGAGGCGGAAGAAUAGGUAGCAGAGGAACAGUAGAUGGGGAACGAGGCGAAGAAAAGACUAGUGUUGAAGAGAAAUAUGGCCUGAUGGCGAUGGGGGCAUGGAGGAUGAG